rnacentral:tRNA from 1 species
GUCCGGUUAGCUAAGUCGGGAGAGCACUCGCCUUGAUAGCAGGAGGUUCCGGGUUCGAGUCCCGGACUGGCA